GCGUCGGGUUGCCGUGGUUACUGCGCGGCGUUCUUUUCCCUGGUUUCCCUGGAGAAAUAGAUUCUCCUAACCUCUCACCGACACACGCGGUCGAUUCGAAGCCUUUGGAGAGGGAGCUUAGUGGUAGAACGCUUACCUAGCAAGUAUAAUUCCCUGGGAUCGACCCAGCACCGAGCCAGCGGCGGUAUCCGGGAAUAAUUUAACUCAAACUAAGAGUGGCCCGGAGGGAGAGAAGCUCUGGCCUAAACAGAUGUCAGUAGUAGUCCUGCCUGGGUGCUGUUAUUGUCCCUCCUGCUCCAAGUCUGGGUUUGGAGGAUGAGCAUGCCCCGCAGAAUGGGAUGCGUGAACCGGCUGAUUGUAGGUGGCUGCAGAGGCCAGGAGGCAUCAGAUUCCCUCCAGAACUGGAGUUACCGGCGGUUUGUGAGCCACUUGAUGUGGGUGCUGAGAAUUGAACCUGGGUCUCCCCAGCUUCUGCUCUCCCCUCCUCCUGUAAUUUUUUGAGAGUGGAUCUGAUGAAGCUCAGAACUGGUCUUGAACUCCCAAUCUCCAGCCUCCACCUUCCAAGUGCUGAGUGAGAAUGACGUGGAAUCAGUCUCUUGCAGUAUUGUACUGGGAAAAAAAAAAAAAAAAAAAAAAAAAAAAAAAAAAACAAAACCUUCUCUUGCAGUGCUGGGAACAAGUCUAGGGUCCCUCAGUUAGGGAACUUCAUCCCCAGUCCCUAUGAGACCUUUGUUCAUUGGACCUGGCCCUAAGGGCCAUAUCUCUGGUUUAGUGAAGAAAUGAAUGCCUCACAGAGGCACACCUGGCACAUGGCCCCCAGAGUUCCCACGGCCACACCCACGAUCUUUCCAUUCCUUGCAUUGGAACUCCAUUCAGCUACCACUGAGAUUCCCAGCAGAAAGAAGGGAGGAAGCCUGCAAUCCCAGAACUGGGGAGGCUGAGGCAAGAUUACAACGAGUUCAAGACCAGCCCAGGAUACACAACGCUCUACGGAGGAAGUGCAGAGGCAGAGGGCGACCCAAACUGAAGUUUAGAACUCUAAGAAUCUUCAUUUCCAUCUGUCUGAUCUGGUGCUUAGUGUAAGUAUUGUUAGUCACAAACGCGAAGUCACCUAUUUCUGGAGGGUACAUUUCUUCAUAUUUGCUGGCAAUAAACAUGGCAGUCACACCAACCAGCUGCAGCAUCUUCUUGGGCACACAAUUAUCCUGCAAUUGGAAUUUCAGUCAACAACAUGUACUUCAGCAUCUCCCUGGAAAGAUGUUAGUUUCAGGCUCAGUGGCUAAGGUGCCUGCUGACCAUGUGUGGGACCCUGGAUUCAGCUGGAAGUGUCCCUUCCCCUCCUCCAAGGUUCUCACAGAACUCACCAAUAGAGAACUCUCAAUUACUGGAUUACACAUACCUGCAUGAACCGGUCAAUAAUGGAGACAGUCAUGUACAUGGUCUCCUGCAGCAGCCUAAAUUUCAUCUGAACCUGUAUCAGCCAGUCAAUUAGGAUGGCUCUCAUGUUUCCAGUGAUUUCACGGCCCAUUAGGUAUUUUGGUCUGACUGACUGUUCUUCCUGCAAAAGAAAAUGUCAGUUAUCCAUUUGUGACUAUAAAGACCAGUUUAACUAACAGUUAACAGCUCGGGGGCAAAACUUCACUAAGAGAGCAAGGAUCAGAAUAGCAUGACAGGCCUUUCGUACUGUUGGGAUAUUGUGACAUGCCAUUAACCAGUGGUACCGCAGGCCCACAGCCUGCACCUAUCACCACCUCGGAUCAAUAUAGACCUUAUUAAUCUCCACUCAAGAUUAAUAAUAUAGAACCUGAGCUUUGUGAUAUAGAAAAAAUAGUUUUAGAUCAUCUAGAAUCUUGCUCAAAGUUAUAAACUCAAAACACCAACAUGGUUUGAAGAAAAGAAUAAGGACAACUAUGUUCAACUACCAAACUGAGUUCUGCAAUAGAAAAAAACCCAAAACCUGAAGUAUUAACAAGAAUUAAACAGCAGACAGCCUGCCUGGACAGAUAUCCUACUGAAGACUUCUUUAGAAAACAGAUGUCAAAAGGAAGGGGAGCCAGCAAGAUGGCUGACUUUCUCUUCAAUCCCCAGAACCCAUGUAAAGGUGGAAGGAGAACCAAUCUUGAAAGUUGUCCUCUGACCACCCCCUCCCAGGCACACCCACACCACCCAGUCACAGAGGACAAAGUUAACCCGAGAAGACAACGCUGAGGACAUAGUUCAGUGGGAAAGUACCCGCUUAGCAUGCACAAGGUAUUUGUUCCCGGGACACUGGGUGGCAAUCCAAUAAAACUACAUUAAAGAACUGUCUUGUUUAAAGAAUUGAAAGGGAAAUAAAGUUUCCCAAGUGGGCCACGUUGACAAAACCAACAACUUCCAUUUUUCUGAGUGUGCUCCUUUUGGGCAAACAGUAGUCUCCCUGAUGGGCACAAGCACACUGACAAAAACGCCUAGUGCUGGGACAGCUGUAAUGCUUUAGCAUUCUCAUCUACCUCCUCCUCCAACCCCCGAGUCUUUUCCCAUCUGUGAUGUGUGUGUCUACUCUAUAAGAGUCAUGGUAGCAUCUCCCCAACACAGAAAUUUUGUAUUCAAUGUGGCAGGUCCACUUCAUGGAGUUAGUGACUAUUUCUACUGUUUCAAAACAGAACUUCAAGUGUUAUCUUUUGUCAAGAAAUGUCAUGUGUGCUGUUGAUAAAAAUAUCUGAGUUUAAUUGCUAAGUUGGUGGUGCACAACUUUUUGAACCUAGCCUGGUCUACAGAGCCAGUUCCAGGACAGCCAGGGGCACACAGGAAAACCGGGUCUCAAAAACAAGAAAACGGUUUUUAAUAAACCUAGCUGCAUUUAGUACAAGCAGACUACCAGUAAUACUGACCUCCAGUUGUCUGAGGUAGGCAUAUAUGUCUUUCACAUAUUCACUGCAGAGGUUUGGAUCAGCUCCAUCAUCUGCAUCCACAUCACUCACGGCAAGAAUUACAUCAGAGAAAGCCUGACACAGAUAUUCUUCUGCAGGGGCACAUCCAGAUGUUUCCAUUGGGCUUGGAGAGGCGUUAUCAACCUUAAAAAAGAGAGACCCCAUGAAACAAAGAGAAGCCCAUGCUACAGUCUAGGAAGGAAAGUCAGUAUCGGUAUCCUCACAGUCCAAGAAACUAUUCUGAAUAAAUGUAAUUCAUUUUAUUAAUGAAAAA